rnacentral:rRNA from 1 species
AUUGAACGCUGGCGGCAGGCCUAACACAUGCAAGUCGAGCGAUCGGUGGACGGGUGCGUAAUGUAUGGGGACUGCCCGAUAGAGGGGGAUAACUACUGGAAACGUUAGCUAAUACCGCAUACUAUCGGAUAACCCAUAUGGGAUUAGCUAGUAGGUGAGGUGAUGGCUCACCUAGGCGACGAUCCCUAGCUGGUCUGAGAGGAUGAUCAGACACACUGGAACUGGGACACGGCCCAGACUCCUACGGGGGCAGCAGGGGGGAAUAUUGCACAAUGGGGGCAAGCCUGAUGCAGCCAGGCCGCGUGUAUGAAGAAGGCCCUAGGGUUGUAAAGUACUUUAAGUAGGGAGGCGUUACCGACAGAAGAAGCACCGGCUAACUCCGUGCCAGCAGCCGCGGUAAUUC